rnacentral:lncRNA from 1 species
GUCAUCCUCCAUCCCUCUUCUUCCCUGCGAACAAGGACGCGCACGCUGCAGAUAACAGAAGCGGGUACACCACACGCGCCGCCGCCGCCGUCAAAACCCUAGCCACGGAGACCCCACCCAUGGCGGCCUUCACCACCACCACCACCGCCGCCGCCUCCGCCUCCGCCUCUGUCGCCCGCUCGCCGGCACCGAGCCCCUCGCAG